GACGAACGCUGGCGGCGUGCUUAACACAUGCAAGUCGAACGGAAAGGCCCUGCUUGCAGGGUACUCGAGUGGCGAACGGGUGAGUAACACGUGGGUGAUCUGCCCUGCACUUCGGGAUAAGCCUGGGAAACUAGGUCUAAUACCGGAUAGGAGCCAUUUUUAGUGUGAUGGUUGGAAAGUUUUUUCGGUGUAGGAUGAGCUCGCGGCCUAUCAGCUUGUUGGUGGGGUAAUGGCCUACCAAGGCGGCGACGGGUAGCCGGCCUGAGAGGGUGGACGGCCACAUUGGGACUGAGAUACGGCCCAGACUCCUACGGGAGGCAGCAGUGGGGAAUAUUGCACAAUGGGCGCAAGCCUGAUGCAGCGACGCCGCGUGGGGGAUGACGGCCUUCGGGUUGUAAACUCCUUUCGCUAGGGACGAAGCUUUUUGUGACGGUACCUAGAUAAGAAGCACCGGCUAACUACGUG
rnacentral:rRNA from 1 species